rnacentral:rRNA from 1 species
GACGAACGCUGGCGGCGUGCUUAACACAUGCAAGUCGAACGGAAAGGCCCCUUUGGGGGUACUCGAGUGGCGAACGGGUGAGUAACACGUGAGUAACCUGCCCUUGACUUCGGGAUAACUUCAGGAAACUGGGGCUAAUACCGGAUAGGAAUCCUUGCUGCAUGGUGGGGGUUGGAAAGCUUCGGCGGUUUUGGAUGGACUCGCGGCUUAUCAGCUUGUUGGUGGGGUAGUGGCUUACCAAGGCUUUGACGGGUAGCCGGCCUGAGAGGGCGACCGGCCACAUUGGGACUGAGAUACGGCCCAGACGCCUACGGGAGGCAGCAGUGGGGAAUAUUGCACAAGGGGCGGAAGCCUGAUGCAGCAACGCCGCGUGCGGGAUGACGGCCUUCGGGUUGUAAACCGCUUUCAGCAGGGGCGAAGCUUGUGGUGACGGUACCUGCAGAAGAAGCACCGGCUAACUACGUG